GUAUAAGAGACAGCAGCAGCCGCGGUAAUACAGAGGGUGCGAGCGUUAAUCGGAUUUACUGGGCGUAAAGCGUGCGUAGGCGGCUAAUUGAGUCGGAUGUGAAAUCCCCGAGCUUAACUUGGGAAUUGCAUUCGAUACUGGUUAGCUAGAGUGUGGGAGAGGAUGGUAGAAUUCCAGGUGUAGCGGUGAAAUGCGUAGAGAUCUGGAGGAAUACCGAUGGCGAAGGCAGCCAUCUGGCCUAACACUGACGCUGAGGUACGAAAGCAUGGGGAGCAAACAGGAUUAGAUACCCGUGUAGUCCCUGUCUCUUAUAC
rnacentral:rRNA from 1 species